AUCCAUUUCAGAAAGCAGGUUUAGUGAGAACUCUGAGUUUGCUAACCCUAAGAUGAGGGAAACUCUGGGUUUUCUGUUUCAGAAAGAGAGGUAACUUAACCUCAGACCUGUGAACCUAACCUGGUCGGGAGCAGGUUUUCUUACCUCAGUCUCCUCCCUCUGACACAGCGCUCUUUCAUUUCCUCAUUCAUUCAUUCAUUCAGUCGGUAUCAGGCACAUUUUAGCGCAGUAUUGUCAUCUGCAUGAAUAAAAAAACGUGUUGGUUUAUUAA